UACAGAGGUCCCAAGCGUUGUUCGGAUUCAUUGGGCGUAAAGGGUUCGUAGGCGGUGUGGCAAGUCGGGAGUGAAAUCUCUGGGCUCAACCCAGAGACUGCUUCCGAAACUGCUGUGCUUGAGUGUGAGAGAGGCUCGUGGAAUUGCAGGUGUAGCGGUGAAAUGCGUAGAUAUCUGCAGGAACACCCGUGGCGAAAGCGGCGAGCUGGAUCACUACUGACGCUGAGGAACGAAAGCUAGGGGAGCAAACAGG
rnacentral:rRNA from 1 species